CAUGUAAUUGCUGCACUCGUUGUGCUAUGGGUCAUGGGACAAAAUGAAUGACUUUAGCAGGGUCUCAGACAGUGGUGGUGGUAGGCUGGGGGCCAAUUACAAGGCCCAGUUUAGACAGGAUAGCAUCCAUCUCUGAGGCAUCUGACACCUUCUGCUCUGUGUCCUGGUGCAAGAUAGGAAGGUAACGAGGAGAACCCCAUCUGUACAUUAGGCCGUUGGCGGUUAGGAUUGAUGUGAGAGGUCGGAGAGUCUUUCACCACUG